GUAGGGGGCAAGCGUUAUCCGGAAUAACUGGGCGUAAAGGGUGCGUAGGCGGCCCUGCAAGUCAGAAGUGAAAGGCUACGGCUCAACCGUAGUAAGCUUUUGAAACUGUAGGGCUUGAGUGCAGGAGAGGAGAGUAGAAUUCCUAGUGUAGCGGUGAAAUGCGUAGAUAUUAGGAGGAAUACCAGUUGCGAAGGCGGCUCUCUGGACUGUAACUGACGCUGAGGCACGAAAGCGUGGGGAGCGAACAGGGAUUAGAUACCCUGGUAGUCCACGCCGUAAACGAUGAGUGCUAGGUGUCGGGGGUUACCCCCCCCCUGGUGCCGCAGCUAACGCAUUAAGCACUCCGCCUGGGGGAGUACGCUCGCAAGAGUG
rnacentral:rRNA from 1 species